UAAGCUCACUCCAUCAACUUUUGUUGAUGAAAGUGGACCUGGACUCUGUUGUGUCAUUACAACUGGUCUGAAAUGGAUGAGUGCACCCUGCUGUUGCAGCGUCUUCAGUGUGAUAAGCAUCUUCACUGGAUCAAGUUCCUUUUGGACACGUGUGCAUUGUGGGCUCUGUGCUAACAAACUGUCUUUGGACAACCUUGACA
rnacentral:misc_RNA from 1 species